AGCAGUCGCCGCGGUAAUACGUAGGUGGCAAGCGUUGUCCGGAAUUAUUGGGCGUAAAGGGCUCGCAGGCGGUUUCUUAAGUCUGAUGUGAAAGCCCCCGGCUCAACCGGGGAGGGUCAUUGGAAACUGGGAAACUUGAGUGCAGAAGAGGAGAGUGGAAUUCCACGUGUAGCGGUGAAAUGCGUAGAGAUGUGGAGGAACACCAGUGGCGAAGGCGACUCUCUGGUCUGCAACUGACGCUGAGGAGCGAAAGCGUGGGGAGCGAACAGGAUUAGAUACCCCGGUAGUCCCUGUCUCUUAUAC
rnacentral:rRNA from 1 species